GACAGAGGUGCCGAGCGUUAGGCGGAAUCACUGGGCUUAAAGCGCGUGUAGGCGGCCAGGUAGGUCUGCUGUGAAAACUCGAGGCUCAACCUCGAGCUGUCGGCGGAAACCCUCUGGCUAGAGUCCGGAAGAGGAGAGUGGAAUUCCCGGUGUGGCGGUGAAAUGCGCAGAUAUCGGGAAGAACACCCGUGGCGAAGGCGGCUCUCUGGGACGGUACUGACGCUGAGACGCGAAAGCGUGGGGAGCGAACAGG
rnacentral:rRNA from 1 species